GAUGAACGCUAGCUACAGGCUUAACACAUGCAAGUCGAGGGGCAGCAUGGUCUUAGCUUGCUAAGGCCGAUGGCGACCGGCGCACGGGUGAGUAACACGUAUCCAACCUGCCGUCUACUCUUGGACAGCCUUCUGAAAGGAAGAUUAAUACAAGAUGGCAUCAUGAGUCCGCAUGUUCACAUGAUUAAAGGUAUUCCGGUAGACGAUGGGGAUGCGUUCCAUUAGAUAGUAGGCGGGGUAACGGCCCACCUAGUCUUCGAUGGAUAGGGGUUCUGAGAGGAAGGUCCCCCACAUUGGAACUGAGACACGGUCCAAACUCCUACGGGAGGCAGCAGUGAGGAAUAUUGGUCAAUGGGCGAGAGCCUGAACCAGCCAAGUAGCGUGAAGGAUGACUGCCCUAUGGGUCGUAAACUUCUUUUAUAAAGGAAUAAAGUCGGGUAUGGAUACCCGUUUGCAUGUACUUUAUGAUUAAGGAUCGGCUAACUCCGUG
rnacentral:rRNA from 1 species